UGGUAAGAUUUUUUGGCUCCCGAGGACAGCGUUAUAUCGAGGUAGAGGUGUAUUAAACUCAGACGCUUUCUGAUGCCAGCUCCCAACACUGCCAAACUGCAGUUUGUUUCUGGAUUACCUGACAAAUGCACCCAUCAGAAAUAUAAUUUCAUCAUGCACUAAACUGGAUCUGAAAGUAGUUAUUUUUCAAACAUAUGGUAUUUUGGAUCUACACUCCCUAUGACAGAACUCACUGUGUAUUAAUUUACUGUACUUGAAGGCUAGACCUAAUGGUAGGGUUUCAUCAUACAUUAUAUUUUUGGGAAGCAAAAAGAAUUACAGAUAACUUCGGGAAAAGAUUACCUAUUUAUUAGUUGCAAUAGAUCCCACACUCUGUACUACCACUACCUUAUGCAGUGUGGUUGCGCACACACAGUGUAUACCCAAGGGUAGGAAUCCACUAAAUAAUUGACUUUAAAGGGUAAGAAUUACAGAUAGAUAACUUGCUUUUGUUUGGGAAGUAGGCUCUGUGUUAAACAUACUUUAAAUGGGGAUUUCAGCAUGGGUCUACAUAGUUACCGCAUCCUCCAGUUGCUUUUACUGUAUCAGGGCUCAUUGGGAUCAUAUUUUAUUUCAUGUAUGCUAUUACAGAAUCCACUGAUCUUAAACCCAAUGGAAUGAUGAAAGAAGCAAAGACAGUGUGAAAGUGAGGAGAAAGCAAUGUAGCUAUGCCCACUGGAAAUAAUUCCCCUUUACUCUAUUAUAGCAAACUAAACUCUAUUUAUUAUCUAACAACCAAGCUAUCUGAAAGAAAGAACAAUGCAAGGAUGUCAUCUCCAUUUUGACACAUUCAUCUUCUUGUGUGCAGGUGAGUUUCAUCGAACUAGUCUCAUGCUUAUCAGCAGUCUGUACCAGUUUGAGAAACCCUAUUGUGUACAUAAACAUACUUUCUUCCAACUUUUGAAAGACCAAGUCAAAUGUUUCCAUAAUUUUUGUUGGAUUUUAAGCACAGGCCUGCAAAUGAUUUUCACAGGACUCGCCAUGGCUAAAAUACCAUACAAUGCAUCUGCCAGUGAUACUUCUGAAGGAUCCAUCUGAGUUUUUCCUUCAUUGUCUUCUCAUGGAGAAGACAUAACUCAGAGCAUAAAGAUAACUGGCAAUGGUUUGUUUGUUUUUUUUUAAAAAGUAAACUUACUGAAGCUGCAGAAACGUACUUUUUCCCAGAAAAGCAGCAUUACCUGAAAUGUCCAUGAGCAUCGACAUGGGGAAACUGCCAAAUUUGCACACAGUAGGGGAAGAAAUACAGUACAGAACUGAUAGGAGCAUUGGUUUGGUUUCCAGUGAUGCUUUCAGAUGAUGAUCUGGUUUCGCAUCAUGUUCCUUCUCUUGUGUUCUUCUAAAAGAGGUUAUACAUACAGCUUUAUAAGACCACACUCAGAAGAGUAAUGUAAAAACUGCAGCCAUAGGAGAUGAGAGAAGUAAGUUUUAACUCCCUACAGUAAUACAAACCAGCAUAGGCAAGGAACUCUGCCCUGUCCAGUUCUAAACCCAGUGUGUGCUAUGUGCACUGAAGGGUCUUCAAUUAAUACAAUACUACAGUCGACUUACUGAAAGAGAUGCAUCACAACUCUGGAGUGGAAUCUUUCAUCAAGUCCCUGAGCUCUGGCUUCAUUGUGUGUCACAAUGGUGCCAACACGCUUUGUGCAUUAAAGGGUAGUAGCUAUGCCUAUGUAGAUUGCUUUGUAUGCUGCACUGUUAAAGAUGUUUGGCAUGAUACUUCUAUUGUUUGGUCAAUGUCACUAACACCAGAAAAGGAGAAAGGGAAGUUAACACUCAUUACAACAAUUCACUUCCUAAGUUUUAGAAAUUGUACAUUUUACUGCUGGUGAGUGAAAGAUUAUAGUGACACUGCCAUUUUAUUGCCACUGCUAUUAACAUACUCAUUCCAUUUGAACUUGAUCAUGCAGGCAGUCUGCAAGAUAAAAGCAAGCAGCUCAGUGGUGCUUCCACUUGUCCAAUUGAUCCAUCUGGAGUUACCAGCUGUGAGUGUUGCAGAAUUAACCAGGCAAGUUGAAUUUUCCUCUUUUGGAGUGGGGAAGAGGAUAAGAGGGGCUACAAGUGCCAGAGAGAACACUAGGAGUAAGUGCAUUUACGCUUAAACAAUAUGCAUUGACCUUUCAGGAAACUGAAUAGUAAUUACAAAAAGCAAUCCUCUGCCACUGCUAAGAAACCACAUUGACCUGGGCUCUGCCUUAGAACUCCAAAGUUCACAAUAUUCAGAUAUAGGGUUUCAUUUCUCAUUAGGUACAGUGACUUUAAAUAUCAGUCCCUCUCUUUUUCUCAGUCCUUCCACUUCUGGCUAGGGGGGUCUACAGAAAUUAGCAAUUUUGCUUUUCAGAAAGGUUUUAUGCAAAUUCUUCAUUUAAAUUUCUCUUUGUUCAUGCUCCCUUGAAUUGGGGUUAAAAUCAUGCAGGAUUGAGUCUGAUUGUUCUACCUGAAACAUAGCCUCUCCUUAUAUAAAUCUUACAGCAAGAGCUGCAACCAGGACAGUUUAUGAUAGGUUCGCAAAUACACUGUUUGAGGUCAUUAAAAAAAUCAGUGUUGUACAGUAAAGAGUGCAGGUUCACUCUAAAUUUGUUUCAGGUUAGACCCAAGGCUUGUUUUGUUUGGGUUUUUUUAAACUCAUUGGCAAACCUGGUCCACAUUUUGCUUUGUAGGGUUCCCUCAAAUCUCUUCUCUUGGCUUGGGGGUCUCAUCAGAGUUCAGCACACUAGUAAUUCUUUUCCCUAGUUUUAGGGUAAGGCAGUAGGACUGAAGAUGAAAACAUAAGAUCUGGUUUUGGAGAAUGUAAGGCAAAUAAUCUUGAUGCCUCCUGGCAUAAAUGGAUUACCAAGAAUAGUAUAUAUGCACCAUCAUAUAUACUAUUGCAGAUUUUUCCACCACCUAUGUGCAUCAGGGACUGAUCCCUGUCUCUUACUAGAUUCAACGGGCCAGUUCAAGGAUGGCAAUUUCAAUGUCACUUCAUUUGUGCUUCUUCAGAUGUUAGGCAGGAGAUGAUGGCAGAGUGGUAUUUUCAUGGCACCUACAGAUGAUUUCUUGUCCAUAUCUAUAGAGGACUCCCCCCACCCAACAUAUGUCAAUCAGUGAAUAGAUGAACUUAAAAGAUUUUUCAUCUCCUACACCAUUGUUUGAAAUCACUGUCAUU